AGAGUUUGAUUCUGGCUCAGAUUGAACGCUGGCGGCGUGCUUAACACAUGCAAGUCGAACGUGAAAGUCCUUCGGGGCGAGUAAAGUGGCGCACGGGUGAGUAACGCGUGGAUAAUCUACCCUUAAGAUGGGGAUAACGGCUGGAAACGGUCGCUAAUACCGAAUACGCUCCCGAUUUUAUCGUUGGGGGGAAAGAUGGCCUCUGCUUGCAAGCUAUCGCUUAAGGAUGAGUCCGCGUCCCAUUAGCUAGUUGGCGGGGUAACGGCCCACCAAGGCAACGAUGGGUAGCCGGUCUGAGAGGAUGACCGGCCACACUGGAACUGGAACACGGUCCAGACUCCUACGGGAGGCAGCAGUGGGGAAUAUUGCGCAAUGGGCGAAAGCCUGACGCAGCGACGCCGCGUGAGGGAUGAAGGUUCUCGGAUCGUAAACCUCUGUCAGGGGGGAAGAAACCCCCUCGUGUGAAUAAUGCGAGGGCUUGACGGUACCCCCAAAGGAAGCACCGGCUAACUCCGUGCCAGCAGCCGCGGUAAUACGGAGGGUGCAAGCGUUAAUCGGAAUCACUGGGCGUAAAGCGCACGUAGGCGGCUUGGUAAGUCAGGGGUGAAAUCCCACAGCCCAACUGUGGAACUGCCUUUGAUACUGCCAGGCUUGAGUACCGGAGAGGGUGGCGGAAUUCCAGGUGUAGGAGUGAAAUCCGUAGAUAUCUGGAGGAACACCGGUGGCGAAGGCGGCCACCUGGACGGUAACUGACGCUGAGGUGCGAAAGCGUGGGUAGCAAACAGGAUUAGAUACCCUGGUAGUCCACGCUGUAAACGAUGAUUACUAGGUGUUGGUGGGUAUGACCCAUCGGUGCCGCAGCAAACGCAAUAAGUAAUCCACCUGGGGAGUACGUUCGCAAGAAUGAAACUCAAAGGAAUUGACGGGGACCC
rnacentral:rRNA from 1 species